GGGAAAAAAAAAGAAAGAAAAGAAUUUCGAAGGAUAUCAUGCUUGUGCGUGACUUAUUUGAAGUAAUUAACCCAAGACCAAGAGUUCAAAGUGUAGGCACCACAAAAAGAAAUCUGCAUGUAGGCGUCGGAGUUUUGCGUCAGCUCGGCGACCUUGCUGAGUUUGAGUGCCAAAUGACGAUGAUGAGUAGAAUGCUGAAUCGGUGGGGUCAAUUGAAAUUUGUUAUAAGCGGUGUUUAAAUUUGUACUACAAAUAUGGGAAUGGUUUUCAAGUAAACGAUAUUCUGAAUCAAGGACCAAC